CAUGGACAUCUUCCCAGAAAGCGGCAAAGACGGUGAAGUUUGACGGUCUGGAAAGCGGAGACCAACCAGGCUGACUACCUGGGCGCACUGAGACUCCGGACAGCGCCUCUCGGGAUCCAGAAAGGGAACCGCUUCAGCACCAAGGCUGAGGACAGCUCCUAGCGGGUUCCCCGGGCCGAUUUCAUUUCAGCACCAGGAUGCCCGACAGCUCCCAGAGGAAGUGGAAGCCAAGAUGCAGACAGGAGUGGAGACUUGGAGUCACACAGAAAGUCAUCUCCAGCCAGGGCUGAAGAGGGACGGUGAGGGCAGAACUCAGACACAGCAUCGUCCAGGGAUUGCUGUUCCUUGCGGCUUCAGUGGCAGUCACCUCCCACCAGGGAGGGUGGGAGUCUCUCAGAGAGAGCCAGAGUGUUGAUUAUAUUCUGCACCUUAAUGGGUCCUUCAAAAGAGAGUGGCUUGGGUUUCCAUGACAACAGGCAGGCGGCAUCAUAAGGAGAUAGCCUCCCCCAACCCACAUCAGGCUCUGGAAUCUGUUCUCUUCCAUCCCUGCCUUUCUGGAUCCAAGAAGCCCAGCCUGUGCCCAGCCCAGACAAGAGAAGUCAGCGCUCUCAUUGGCUGGUUUUUUAAAAAAAGAUUUUAUUGGGGAAUCGGGAAAGGAAACAGCAUUGGGGAAUCAGGGA